CAGCCACCACUGUUGCAGCUAAAGCCUGGAAAGCUGCCGAGGAAGGGUUGCUGAGAUCGCUUGUAAAUGUUUGGUCGAGACUAAACCGCAGUCCAAGAGUUCCCUCACUGGAUGAAGGAGGGUCUGUUGCUGCAGUCGUGGCUGCUGUUGUACUAGAAGCUGCAGUCGUUGCAGCAGCAGUCGUGGUGGAAGCCGCAGUCGUUGCAGCCGCAGUCAUUGCAGCAGCAGUCGUGUUGGAAGCCGCAGUCGUGGCAGCAGCUGUCAUGUUAGCAGCUGCAGUUGUUGCAGCUGUUGUGUUAGAGGCUGCAGUUGUUGCAGCUGUUGUGUUAGAGGCUGCAGUCAUGGCAGCUGUUGUGUUAGAGGCUGCAGUUGUUGCAGCUGUUGUGUUAGAGGCUGCAGCCGUGGCAGCUGUUGUGUUAGAGGCUGCAGUUGUUGCAGCUGUUGUGUUAGAGGCUGCAGUCAUGGCAGCUGUUGUGUUAGAGGCUGCAGUUGUUGCAGCUGUUGUGUUAGAGGCUGCAGUCGUGGCAGCGGUUGUGUUAGAGGCUGCAGUUGUUGCAGCUGUUGUGUUAGAGGCUGCAGUCGUGGCAGCGGUUGUGUUAGCAGCUGCAGUCAGGGCAGUUGUAACAGUAGGUGCCGCAGUGGAAGCAGAAGUGGAAACUGUACAACAUCAAUGGUUAAUCAAUAAAAAUAUGAUGCAGUCACAUUUAUUAAAUAUUAGGGUGAUAACAAACAAAUGAAUUAAGAUUUUGGAUUUUAUACUUACUUGCAGUAAGACUGCCUGGUAUAAUGUUCAGGGAGGAAGAGUUGCUGGUAAGUUCAGUACUGAGUUGUGAAGUUGCAUUACUUGUUGAAGGCACUGAGCUUUGAUUUCUAAAUGUGAGAACCAUAUUGGUAACCACUGAUCCAUUCCUAUUGUGACAGUGAAAAAGAACAACAUCAUUUAGGCAUAUCACGGAGAAAUAUCUUUUAAAAAAAGUUGGUGGCUGAAAUUUGGGCUUACGUGAAUGAAGUAACAUUGGAACGAAUGAAAGCUGAUCCAUAGAGCCUCUGGCACGCUGCGUUCACCUGAAAUAUA
ensembl:lncRNA